rnacentral:ribozyme from 13 species
UUUGUUGUUGUUGUUAUUGUUUGUUGUUGUUGUUUGUUUGUGUAAAUUGUUUUCAACCAAUAGACUGACUUUUGCUGUGCUUGUUACAACGGGGACCUGAGAAAAGUUAAAAAAAUUCUCUUGAUUUCAUUUCUCUUAUUAUGAGUACUGAAAUACAAAAAUCAGAGUCAAAUAAGUGCUUAGUUUGGGGUGCCUGUUCCAGCACAACCACUUCUAUUACUACCCUUUCCAAUGAGAUGUUUUGUGGCAAAUCUGGAAAUAGAACAAAAUUUGUUGUUGAGAACUGUACAAUUGGAGCCCAGGUUGAGAAGGUGUCUGCUAUUGGUCUUGAAAAGG